rnacentral:lncRNA from 10 species
GGAACACUUGCUAAUGUCUGGACACAGUUUUGGUUGUCACGACUAGGCUGGUGAUGCUGGAGCCACAACAACCACCGGAAACCCCAAGGCGAAGACCAGAGAAUCCCAGAGAUGCAGACAGAGACUUCCUAGAGCUACAGAGUAAGCCAAAUUGGAGUUGCCUUUUCUGGACGUCUUGUUAAGUCUGAUGGGGUUCAUCACAUCUGAGCCAGGACUGGCUUUUCUUGGCUGCAAGCUGAAAGUUGGGUCCAGGUCUGCUGUACUGAGGGUCUCCUAUCUUCCUUGGACAGGGACAACCAGAGGCCUAUUUAUCUCAUGAUGGAAGGCAGGAGAACAAGCAGGCAAGACCAGCUGUGCUAGCACAUGCCACCUCUUUGCCCACGUCACACCUGCUGACGUCCCAUUGGCCAAUGCAAGUCACACAACCAAAGCCAACAUCAACAGGACAAGGAAACAGACUCUGCCUCUAGAUGCACAAACUACAGAGUCACGGACAGAGGACACGGAUCCAGGGAAGGAAGAUGGAGAAUGAGAACAAUGACCCUCAAUAACACAGCCUCCCACAGGUUUCCAAAUCCCCAACCCAGGCAUAUAUCCAAGGAAAUGGAAUCAUGGGUUCAGGUUUUAGAGCAAGCAAUUUCUGCUCUCCCUGCCUAGUUUCCACACCCUUAACACAGGGGCAAUGAUGUCACAUCAAAACAUAUCAUACAAAUUUGUGAUGAUGUUUCAACAACUAAACACCAGAAAAAUGCUUAGGGCAGGGCCGGGUAGGAGGGGCAGAAGCCAAUAGUAACUUAACAUCACUGCUAACCCACAAAGUUCUGGGAAUUUCUUUGAAUGUCUAAUUAGAGAACCAUGUCCCCAAGAAUUAACAUUUCUUUUGCUUUUUUUUGAAUCUGAGAAAAUACUAAUUGUCACAGGGUAGAAUAUUUAUCUGAUGAGCAUAUAGAAGUUAAGGGCUCCUUGAAAUCACAGUGCUAGGUUUGGGUCUCAUUCCUCCUCCUACCUGCCUCUCUGAGCCUCAGUUUCUCAUCUGUAGAAUGGGUACAAUCCCAACCUCAUGUGUUUGUGGCAGUCAGGGUUAAUUGGGCUAAUGAUUCUAAAGUGCUCU